rnacentral:sRNA from 1 species
GGUCAUCAGCCGGAGACCAAGCUCCAUUUCAGCACAGGCCGUGUCCCCUGGCCCCCAAGACCCACAUGGUGACGGCUUUCACCCAAAGUCCCAGGCCCUAGGGCCAGAGGACAGCUGACGCCUGACCUCCCUGGUGCCCCUAUUCCCACGGGGUCCUAGGGUUCCCCCCCGCGCCGGGCCGAGCCCCACGUCCUUUGCCCGCCCGCAGCUAUGGGAGGUCUCCUCGGGCGAGCUGCUCCUCUCCGUCCUCUUUGACGUGUCCAUCAUGGCGGUGACCAUGGACCUGGCUGAGCACCACAUGUUCUGCGGGGGCAGUGAGGGCUCCAUCUUCCAGGUCGACCUCUUCACCUGGGUGAGUGCCGCGGUCUGUGGGCUGCACCCUGUCCUGGGGCUGAGGGCAUCAGGCCUGCGGCUCACACCUGUCUCGGCUUUCGCAGCCCGGACAGAGGGAGAGGAGCUUCCAGCCAGAGCAGGACACCGGGAAGGUCUUCAAAGGGCACAGGUGGGGACGUGGGAACGGGGCGGGGGCUCCCGGGCACGUCCCGUCUGGCGCCUGACCCCUGUUUGUCUGUCCAGGAACCAGGUGACCUGCCUGUCGGUGUCCACUGACGGCAGCGUGCUGCUCUCAGGCUCCCACGACGAGACCGUGCGCCUCUGGGACGUGCAGAGCAAGCAGUGCAUCCG